CGAUGUUGAGGGAGGCAGGUGAGCCAGGCCCUAACGAGUCUGUCUGCCGUGCUAAAGGGUGUGGACAUUAGCAUAAAGGUGGUCACGAGCUGUCAGUGGGUCUGAUGGUGAGGGAGGCAGGUGAGUCAGGCCCUAACGAGUCUGUCUGCCGUGCUAAAGGGUGUGGACAUUAGCAUAAAGGUGGUCAGGAGCCAUUGCAGCACGUUGAGCCGAGGAGCAGCACAUCUUGUCUGUGAUGUAGAUGGGUCAGUGUGGCAGUGGCGUAAGUUGGGAACAGAGGAAGGGAGGCUGGAGUCAGGGAGAGCAGUUAGGAGGCUUCUGGAGUGACUGACAUGAACAACCAGGAUCUGAACAAAGGCAGCAAUUACAGGUACAGAGGGCUGGACACAGGCUAAAGGGGUAGAACUUAAAAAACCCAGGAGCUCAUCAAUUAUAGGAGCAGUGGGAGGGAGGAGCCUAGGUUGGCCUCUGCCUCCACCAGCAUGUCUGGUUGGUGACUGGGCACCACUUGCCAGGCGAGGAUAGGAG
rnacentral:lncRNA from 1 species